GGGUGUGAUUGAUUGUGUGAAUUAAUUAGUUGUGUAAAGCGCUUUGAGUGCUCAGAUAGAGUAGAAAAGCGCUAUAUAAGAACAAGUCCAUUUACCUUAGUACACACCUCACAUCAUGCUCCUCAACAGUGACGAUGUGGAUGUGAUGUAGCCUCUUCUGGUGUUUUCUGUUUGAAGCAGGUACAGAAGCAGUUCAACUUCUCUAUGAGUGUAGCAUCACCAUUCACAGCAUUUGUUCUGGGUUAGUAGUUGGUGAUGUUAUGGACUCCCCUGCAGACCUGCCUUGAGUUAUAACUAUGGAGGUGGUCCUCAAUUUUGUUUUUGUAGUCUAGCUUAGCCCGUGUGAUGCCGGUUUUUUAAGGUUUUCCCUAGCUGCACUGUACAGUUCUACGUCUACAGACCUAUAGGCAGUGUUUCUUUCCUUCAGCAGGGUCUUGACCUCUCUUGUCAUCCAGGGUUUUUGAUUGGCAUACACGCAGAUAUGUUUUUCAAUAGUGACAGUGUCUGUGCAAUGCUUCAUGUAGGAGAAUACAGAUGUAGUGUACUCCUCCAGGUACUGAGAUUGAAAUAUGCUCCAGUCUGUUAGCUUAAAACAGUCCUGUAGUUUUUCUGAGACAACUUCAGGCCAAGUUUUCACCGUUUUGCAGGUUUCUCCAAUCUUAUAAACGGUACAUUUGCAUAAUGACUGAGUAACAAUGGGCUGUGAUCAGUUUCAUGAUCAUAAAUUUGUCAUGAUGAUUGACCAAUGACAUGAGUACCAUUCGGAGAGUUGGGGAACGGCCUCACAGCCCAUUGUUAGUCAGUUAGUCAGAUAAAAUAGACAAACUUAUGUGAUCACAAUGCUCAAAGUGAAAUGGUGUCUCCUCUCCUUCUUUGAUUGGAGUUUAAACCACUGGGAGGCCCUGAAAACGCUCUCAGCUGUCACAGAGCUCAGUGAACGGCCAAGAACGUGUUGUUUCCGUCAUUCAUAAACGUUGCGUAGCCUCAAGUGGAGUUCAAUGACUGAAAAAAAAGCAGUGGUUUUUAUUCGCCGCUCAUAAGGACGUUUUCUGUCGGGGUUUUCACUGAGUUUUACAGCGACCUGAUUUAAAAACACCACCUUAAAUAAUCAACCUUCAGCCACUUUAUGGGAAAUUUAAGACAUUUUAACGCUUUAAUUUCCCCAUUAUAUUUUCAGGCUGUUGUCUAUUAGUAAAAAAUUUAAUCAAUCUGGGACCAAAAAUAUUCAACAUAAACUGAAAGUCAAACUUAAUGUCAUUUAAAAAUGAGACAAAAUCAGUUUGAAAUUUUUAAAAAAAAUCUGAUUUUCUUGUCAGAUCUCAGCUUGUAUCGUCUGUCUGUUAGUUUGUGUUUCUUAUUUUUGGUCUAAUUCUCACUAAACUCUUGUGCUAUUAGACUCAAACUGAAAGUUAAUAUUUGUUUAUUUUCCACAGAGUAACUUUCAUGUAUUUAUGAUAUAUUUAUGGAACCUCUGCUAAUGAAAGAUAAUCUUGAGAACAUUUCCUCAUGAAAACGUGCUGAAUCUUUUAGAGACACAGUUUUCAAGCCUAUUUGAAUUUUUUUUUUUUUUUAAUAUUUUUCCAGUAUUUUUAUUUGGUUGAAACUGAUUAUUGUCUUUACUGCUUCAGGUUUUGAUUUGUUUGUUGUUGUUGAUCUACAGGAUCUACAGGAAAUAAUCUCACCAUCAUCAUUGCGAUUUUUGCUGUGGUUGUUGUCCUCGGCGCUGUGACUGGAUUCAUUGUCUACAAAAAGAAAACAAGCAAAUGCUCCCAGUCUCGUUUAUGGAGAUAUAUUGCACUCAAAAAAGAGACAUUGUCACUUGAUUCUCCAUAAAGUGGGACUAAAUUCUUUAAUUCGUCAAACUUAAGACUUGGAAAAAGUGUUGCACUUACUUAUUCAUCCAUUAACUAAUUUUAAAUUACUUGAUUCUUUUUUUGAAGUUCGAAUUAGUAAUUCAAAGUAAUUAAAAUUAUUUGUGAUUUUAAUCACUUUGAAUUUGGGGGAAAUAAAUUUAAAGAUGAAUUGGCAGAUAUUUAACAAGUAUAACAUAAAUGGUGACCUUAUUUUGAGACUUGAAUUCCCAGUCAGGAAGGUGGAUUUCUUUGAUAAAUAUAACACCAAUGGAGGGAAGUACCACAUGUUUUAAAAAUCACAUGACCGCAGUCUAAAAAAUUUUGGUUUAUUGGAAAUAAACACAAUAUAUUUUUAGCUUGGUAUUUCUGGUGUUGGGGUAUUCUGUAAAUCAAUAAAUUACUAAAUCACUGUUGGUAAAAAAUACAAAUGUAUUAUUAGAGAUGCUUGUCCUUUACAUACACAUGCUCUUAUAGUUUGGUAAUAUGAUCAUAUAUUUCUUUAGAUUUGUCAACAAACAGGACAAUUCUGUAAAUCAGUCAUCAACAUUAAAAAAACACAUUGUGGAAAUUAUAGAUUUUAAAUCACAUGAACUCAUCAGUGUAAAUUAUUGUUUAACUUUCUAAAUCUGUUGGUAAACUGGGAAUGACUCCAGUCCUCUGCAGCUCUCAGUAAUCAGACAGGAAAUGGUUGGAUGGGCACUGAACUGUUAUGAUUAGCAGGAUUUAUCAAUAAUGAUUUAGACACAUAUUUUCCAUUUGGUUUCUUCUACAUCUCUGAAUUAUUUUUUAACUUAAGUUCUUUAAAAUAUAUAUCAAGUAGAGGGAUAAAAUAACACCCAUCCAUAAACACAUGCCAAAGUCUCAGAUCACAGUGGAUUUCCAAAUUUUGUACAUAAACCGUUUGUACAUUUCUUUAAAACUAUUUUGUGUUGAUUUUAACCAGACCUAGGGUGGUUAUAAUUUAUGUCUUUGAGGUUAUUCUCAAAUAAAAAAGAUAAUUGUGUUGUUUCUUAUGUGUUUUUAGUCUAAAACGUUUUGAUCUUUGGUUUGUUUUCUGAUUUAGUUUAAAUUGAGCUUCUGAUGGCUUGUGUGAUAUUUUCUUGAAAAUGCUUUCUGUUCAUAUUUAGGGGUUUUAAAGGGCCUUUUCUGUCUUAUGUAAACACAUAGGAGUUAAACAGUGAUGUUGCUGUUUCAUUCUCUUUUAUACUUUUGCCUUUCAAUAAAGUCCCCAAUAAUCCAAA